UACGGAGGGUGCGAGCGUUAUCCGGAUUUAUUGGGUUUAAAGGGUGCGUAGGCGGACUAAUAAGUCAGUGGUGAAAUCUUGCAGCUUAACUGUAAAACUGCCAUUGAUACUGUUAGUCUUGAAUUUAGUUGAGGUAGGCGGAAUGUGUUGUGUAGCGGUGAAAUGCAUAGAUAUAACACAGAACACCGAUUGCGAAGGCAGCUUACUAAGCUAUAAUUGACGCUGAUGCACGAAAGCGUGGGUAGCGAACAGG
rnacentral:rRNA from 1 species